CCUGCGGGGGGCUGCAGUGGGGAAUAUUGGACAAUGGGGGCAACCCUGAUCCAGCCAUGCCGCGUGUGUGAAGAAGGCCCUCGGGUUGUAAAGCACUUUCAGUGAGGAAGAACGCCUGGUGGUUAAUACCCAUCAGGAAAGACAUCACUCACAGAAGAAGCACCGGCUAACUCCGUGCCAGCAGCCGCGGUAAUACGGAGGGUGCGAGCGUUAAUCGGAAUUACUGGGCGUAAAGCGCGCGUAGGUGGCUUGAUAAGCCGGUUGUGAAAGCCCCGGGCUCAACCUGGGAACGGCAUCCGGAACUGUCAAGCUAGAGUGCAGGAGAGGAAGGUAGAAUUCCCGGUGUAGCGGUGAAAUGCGUAGAGAUCGGGAGGAAUACCAGUGGUGAAGGCGGCCUUCUGGACUGACACUGACACUGAGGUGCGAAAGCGUGGGUAGCAAACAGGAUUAGAUACCCGUGUAGUC
rnacentral:rRNA from 1 species